ACUAUCAAAAGAAAAAUAUUUUUCUCUGCUCCUAGAAAGUGACUACUGAGAGUUUUAAUGCACUUCUGCAUGCCUGACGUGUUUCUGCACCAUUCUUGAUGAGAGGAGUGCUGUUAUCAUCAUCAUUGUAUGAUUGAAGACAUCCAGGUGUUGGAACAGAGAAGUGAGAAAACCAACUGGGUCUGCAGCCUGCACUGGGAUCAGGCCCUUCCCGGAACCACUCGGCCCAGGGUAGGGCUGCGCAGGUUCAGUUCUGCCACGCAAAUUCGGAACCCACUUCUUCCCCAAGAGGGUGAAGAAAAGCAUGUCAGCCUCAACAUCCUGUCCUGUUCUUCAGCAAUUCCUGCUACUUUCUUCCUCAACCCCAUCCGCUCUAAUACCUUGCUCAAGGAGGAGAGAAUAUGGACACAUGGAGCUUUGGAAGCCAAGUGUAUGCCUGGUGGAGGGAUGACAUGAGCUGAAGGAAGAAGUGGGAAAUGUUCGCGCCAAGGGCUUGAGACAGUUAGCGUGACUCACCACAUCUUGGCUGCUGGACCUAUCUGCUCUCCCCCAGCUCUUGAGGGCUGUUGAGUCGAGGUAAAAAUGGCUAAGCCACUGAGGCAAAAACAGAAUGCAGAGUAAGGGCCUGCGGUUUAUGAGGACAUUGUGCUGACUGCUUUCAUAUCCCCUUUAGUCUCUGUGUAAGCAAUGGGCUUGCUGCAAUUGAGAUGCCUGAGAGGGGCAAAGACCCCUGCCCAUAUUUUCUCAGGAGCUGAGCUUCUGUUCUACCUCCUGAUGGAAAACAUGAUUAACAAGCCACCUUAAGGGCACCAUUGUUUGCACUGUGUAUCUUUGAAAAACAUAUAUUAACUUUUAAACUGCUUUGUAAGCUAUUAUCACAAGUCCCCUUAAAACUGCUUUGUGAGCUGUUAUCACAAGCCCCUGAUAACUAUUUUUACGUGAUUUCUGUUCCCUUUUCUGUUUGCCCCCUUUUCUGCUGAGCUAAAGUAAAUGUAACAAGAAAAAAGGUAUAAAAGCUGUAACACACAAAAAUAAAGCU
rnacentral:lncRNA from 1 species